GCCUAACACAUGCAAGUCGAGCGGAUGAAGGGAGCUUGCUCCUGGAUUCAGCGGCGGACGGGUGAGUAAUGUCUAGGAAUCUGCCUGGUAGGGGGGGAUAACGGCCGGAAACGGGCGCUAAUACCGCAUACGUCCUGAGGGAGAAAGUGGGGGAGCUUCGGACCACACGCUACCAGAUGAGCCGCGGACGGAUUAGCUAGUUGGGGGGGUAAAGGCCUACCAAGGCGACGAUCCGUAACCUGUCUGUUAG
rnacentral:rRNA from 1 species